rnacentral:rRNA from 1 species
UCCAGACUCCUACGGGAGGCAGCAGUGGGGGAUAUUGCACAAUGGGGGAAACCCUGAUGCAGCGACGCCGCGUGAGUGAAGAAGUAUUUCGGUAUGUAAAGCUCUCUCAGCAGGGAAGAAAAAAGACGGUACCUGACUAAGAAGCCCCGGCUAACUACGUGCCAGCAGCCGCGGUAAUACGUAGGAGGCAAGCGUUAUCCGGAUUUACUGGGUGUAAAGGGAGCGUAGACGGCAAUACAAGUCGGAAGUGAAAUACCCGGGCUCAACCUGGGAACUGCUUUGGAAACUGUAUGGCUGGAGUGCUGGAGAGGUAAGCGGAAUUCCUAGUGUAGCGGUGAAAUGCGUAGAUAUUAGGAGGAACACCAGUGGCGAAGGCGGCUUACUGGACAGUAACUGACGUUGAGGCUCGAAAGCGUGGGGAGCAAACAGGAUUAGAUACCCCAGUA